CCCACCCCCCACAUCCCACUUCUCUCGCAGAGUCACGGCACACACAUUCAACCUAAACCUAAUUCACCGCCGCCGCCGCCACGGACCUGCCCGUCGAUCUGCUCACGCCGUCGCUGGUUCCCGCGUCGCCGGCCUCCCUUCCAAAGUCGCUGCCCCCAACCAGCGCGCGCCCGCUGGUCCCCUGGCGCCUGGCCUCCCUUCUCUUAUCCAGCAAUCAAGGAGCAACAGCGCCGUCCGUCGCGCCGAGUAGCAGCAGCAUCGUCCACCGGCAAGGAGCAGUAGCGUGCAGCGCCUUCCGGCAUAAAGGAUCCGCCGCGCCGACUGCUGCUUAGGUGCCACCGACUGUUCUUCUUCCUCCACGGAGACGCCUCUCCCGGUUGAUUCCCCUUGCGCCGCCUCCAGAUCUCAACAGAUGGAUCUGUCAGUAAGUUGAAAUUCAGUGGAGUUGGUUCGGUAUUCGGUACUUUCAGUCAAUUGCAAGUUGUAGUUAUAUAUGUCAAUUACAUCCUGAUGAUAAAAUAAUAAAAGGACAAUGUUUCAUAAAGCAAGUGGGAAUAUGUAAACUGAAUGUCGGGUUAUCACUUGAUCCGACCACUUUAAUUAAGUUGCAAAAGCACUAGAAUCUAUCAUAAUUCCUAGUUGGAUGUCAUAUUGUGCUGUCUAUAAUUAUUUGAUAUGACUAUUAUUUGGAGCAGAAAAUAUGGCAUGUAAAAGAGGAGGAAGAGAACUCCCUGCGUAUUAUGAACAAUCGAGGUCCGCAAAUAUUGCAGAAAACGAGAGGAAGAUGAGAGGUCUUAUAAAUCUGAAAAAGAAUUUAGCAUUGGGAGAAAACAGAAGGCAGAUUGCGGAAGUAGGUAGCUUAUCACAGCCACCCAAGAAAAAAAAAGUCAAUGAACUCCACAUGUGAAGAUAGAAAUGGAGGACAUAACCUGCGUUCAGACUACGAAGAUGUUGAAGCUCCCAAUUACGAACCCAUACAGGAUGGCUUGGAGGACAGUCAAGGUGAAAAUAUGAGGAGAACAAGGGGAGGAAGCAAGCUCCCUGCAUAUUACAAACAAUUGAGGCAUGCGAAUAUAGCAGAAAAUAGGAGGAAGCUGGAAGCUCUUAUAGAACUGAAAAGGAAUUUAGCAUUGGUAGAAAAGAUGAGACAUGUUGAGGAAGUAGGAAAUUAGCUAUGGGAGAAAACAAGAGUCAUCAUUGCAGAGUUUAGGGACAAAGUGAAGAAAGUACCAACUCAACCAGUUGAUCUAAGAUGUUCCAGUGAGGCGGUGAUCGCUCUUGUUCAUAACAUGGUUGACACAUUUUGUUCAUAUGGAAGUUGAUGUCAGCUUGGGAUUGAAGACUUUGUCUCUUCCAUAAUAUAUUGUAGUAGUGUUCAAACAUCUGGUGCGUUAGGAACUUGGCCAUCAUAUUGUGCAACAGACCACUGCCUAAAUGUUGACUUAUGUAUCUCCUUACUGGUUUUAACUUGAGUGAAGAAACUAGAAUCUUCUAUGUAUGUUGAAUAAAUGCAUUGAUUAAUGGUAUCUUGUGAUGAGUAUAAGAAUGCAA